rnacentral:sRNA from 1 species
GCCGGGCGCGGUGGCGGGCGCCUGUAGUCCCAGCUACUCGGAGGCUGAGGCGGGAGAAUAGCGUGAACCCGGGAGGCGGAGCUUGCAGUGAGCCGAGAUCGCGCCACUGCACUCCAGCCUGGGUGACAGAGUGAGACUCCGUCUCAA